rnacentral:rRNA from 1 species
ACGAUGUCGACUUGGAGGUUGUGCCCUUGAGGCGUGGCUUCCGGAGCUAACGCGUUAAGUCGACCGCCUGGGGAGUACGGCCGCAAGGUUAAAACUCAAAUGAAUUGACGGGGGCCCGCACAAGCGGUGGAGCAUGUGGUUUAAUUCGAUGCAACGCGAAGAACCUUACCUACUCUUGACAUCCAGAGAACUUUCCAGAGAUGGAUUGGUGCCUUCGGGAACUCUGAGACAGGUGCUGCAUGGCUGUCGUCAGCUCGUGUUGUGAAAUGUUGGGUUAAGUCCCGCAACGAGCGCAACCCUUAUCCUUUGUUGCCAGCGGUUCGGCCGGGAACUCAAAGGAGACUGCCAGUGAUAAACUGGAGGAAGGUGGGGAUGACGUCAAGUCAUCAUGGCCCUUACGAGUAGGGCUACACACGUGCUACAAUGGCGCAUACAAAGAGAAGCGACCUCGCGAGAGCAAGCGGACCUCAUAAAGUGCGUCGUAGUCCGGAUUGGAGUCUGCAACUCGACUCCAUGAAGUCGGAAUCGCUAGUAAUCGUAGAUCAGAAUGCUACGGUGAAUACGUUCCCGGGCCUUGUACACACCGCCCGUCACACCAUGGGAGUGGGUUGCAAAAGAAGUAGGUAGCUUAACCUUCGGGAGGGCUCUUA